rnacentral:rRNA from 1 species
GGCGAACGCUGGCGGCGUGCCUAAUACAUGCAAGUAGAACGCUGAAGGAGGAGCUUGCUCUUCUGGAUGAGUUGCGAACGGGUGAGUAACGCGUAGGUAACCUGCCUGGUAGCGGGGGAUAACUAUUGGAAACGAUAGCUAAUACCGCAUAAGAGUAGAUGUUGCAUGACAUUUGCUUAAAAGGUGCAAUUGCAUCACUACCAGAUGGACCUGCGUUGUAUUAGCUAGUUGGUGAGGUAACGGCUCACCAAGGCAACGAUACAUAGCCGACCUGAGAGGGUGAUCGGCCACACUGGGACUGAGACACGGCCCAGACUCCUACGGGAGGCAGCAGUAGGGAAUCUUCGGCAAUGGACGGAAGUCUGACCGAGCAACGCCGCGUGAGUGAAGAAGGUUUUCGGAUCGUAAAGCUCUGUUGUAAGAGAAGAACGAGUGUGAGAGUGGAAAGUUCACACUGUGACGGUAUCUUACCAGAAAGGGACGGCUAACUACGUGCCAGCAGCCGCGGUAAUACGUAGGUCCCGAGCGUUGUCCGGAUUUAUUGGGCGUAAAGCGAGCGCAGGCGGUUAGAUAAGUCUGAAGUUAAAGGCUGUGGCUUAACCAUAGUACGCUUUGGAAACUGUUUAACUUGAGUGCAAGAGGGGAGAGUGGAAUUCCAUGUGUAGCGGUGAAAUGCGUAGAUAUAUGGAGGAACACCGGUGGCGAAAGCGGCUCUCUGGCUUGUAACUGACGCUGAGGCUCGAAAGCGUGGGGAGCAAACAGG